UACGAAGGGUGCAAGCGUUAUCCGGAUUCACUGGGUUUAAAGAGUGCGUAGGUGGGCAGGUAAGUCAGUGGUGAAAUCCUGUAGCUUAACUACAGAACUGCCAUUGAUACUAUUUGUCUUGAAUACCCUGGAGGUGAGCGGAAUAUGUCAUGUAGCGGUGAAAUGCUUAGAUAUGACAUAGAACACCAAUUGCGAAGGCAGCAGGCUAAACGAACAUUGACGCUGAGGCACGAAAGCGUGGGGAUCAAACAGG
rnacentral:rRNA from 1 species